rnacentral:rRNA from 1 species
GGAAUUAUUGGGCGUAAAGAGCUCGUAGGCGGUUUGUCGCGUCUGCCGUGAAAGUCCGGGGCUCAACUCCGGAUCUGCGGUGGGUACGGGCAGACUAGAGUGAUGUAGGGGAGACUGGAAUUCCUGGUGUAGCGGUGAAAUGCGCAGAUAUCAGGAGGAACACCGAUGGCGAAGGCAGGUCUCUGGGCAUUAACUGACGCUGAGGAGCGAAAGCAUGGGGAGCGAACAGGAUUAGAUACCCUGGUAGUCCAUGCCGUAAACGUUGGGCACUAGGUGUGGGGGACAUUCCACGUUUUCCGCGCCGUAGCUAACGCAUUAAGUGCCCCGCCUGGGGAGUACGGCCGCAAGGCUAAAACUCAAAGGAAUUGACGGGGGCCCGCACAAGCGGCGGAGCAUGCGGAUUAAUUCGAUGCAACGCGAAGAACCUUACCAAGGCUUGACAUGGACCGGACCGCCGCAGAAAUGUGGUUUCCCCUUUGGGGCCGGUUCACAGGUGGUGCAUGGUUGUCGUCAGCUCGUGUCGUGAGAUGUUGGGUUAAGUCCCGCAACGAGCGCAACCCUCGUUCCAUGUUGCCAGCGCGUAAUGGCGGGGACUCAUGGGAGACUGCCGGGGUCAACUCGGAGGAAGGUGGGGACGACGUCAAAUCAUCAUGCCCCUUAUGUCUUGGGCUUCACGCAUGCUACAAUGGCCGGUACAAAGGGUUGCGAUACUGUGAGGUGGAGCUAAUCCCAAAAAGCCGGUCUCAGUUCGGAUUGGGGUCUGCAACUCGACCCCAUGAAGUCGGAGUCGCUAGUAAUCGCAGAUCAGCAACGCUGCGGUGAAUACGUUCCCGGGCCUUGUACACACCGCCCGUCAAGUCACGAAAGUUGGUAACACCCGAAGCC